AAUUCAACCGCUAGCCUGGGAAUUUCCAUAUGCUAUGAGUGUAGCCCUAAAAAGCCGAAGGAAAAAAAUUAACACAGCAUGAUUGCAUGAUUAAAAACAGAAUUUUGGACAACAGGCCAACUGAUCAAUCAGUUCAAAUGAAAUCAUCCAGAAGAAUAAGAAUACUCAUGAACAAUAAAGUAACUAUCAUGGAAAAGCAUGACUACCCUUAGAUGUUAAAGAAGUACUCAGCAGUAGAGAGAGAAAAUCUGCAUGAGAAUUAGUAUGUAACCACGACUGAAGCCUUUCUGCAAAAACUUCUUUUCUGCUUGGUAUGAGGGAUCGGUUAUUAACGUCACCCUAUGGCCUAGAGACAGCUGAAUAAUAUCUAGAAAUUUAGUACAUAUGUAUUAUUUUUCCCUAUAAAGAUUGCUUUCCUGAUUCUAGGGACAUUCUCCAUAAUCGAAUUCAAAUCAUCCUUUGGUCAUCUUUGUAAAGCCUAAGCUGAUAAAUGCCCUCCUCCACUGCUAUGGAGAGAAGCUUGGCCAACAUUUGCAAAUCACUACCCUAUGCCAACUAAAUAAAGGGUACCUUUAAUGAAAAUGCAUCUGAAAGUGUCCUAAUCUUGUUUCCUUAUGACACACCUUUCACAAAAUUAUUUCAUUUCACCCUUAAAACAACUUUAUGGGGUAAAUAUUAAUAUUUCAAGUAAAAAAAAAACUUGUAAAGUUAAAUUAUUUGCUCAAGGUCACACUGUUAAGUAGUAAAGCAGAAUAUUUUGCCCUUCAUUAAUAAUAAAUCACUUGUCUAUAAUGUUAUAAAAGACUUAAAAGUAGAAACGUUCCCAUUAAUUAUCUACUGAUUUGAACAAAUUGCUAAUCCAUCAGAGACCCCUGCACCAUGGAUGAAACCAUGUGAGGUCAGACAGUUUGCAAGUGUCAGAUUCCUAACUCAAUCCCAGGCUUUCUCUACAAUACCAUAUAGCAUCUGUGUACAUUUCCCGUUCUAAAAAUGUGUAACUUUAUUCAAUUUCUAUGUAAUUUAUAAUUACACUUACUAAGACAUGCAUACAUGUGGCUGUCACUUAUCCCUAAUCUCUUCUCUCUUACUUCCUCAUUCAAACAGCCAGCAGCUUGAACCACAAGACAGAAUGAAUUAAAAGUCCAAUUUCUCAUAGGUUAAUACCUAAGGGUGGAAUGAGUGAAUCAUAUAGCAGCAUGGAUGUAGAAGCAGGACUUCCAGCAGCCAUCUUGUGACCUUGAGGAUGGAUGCCGUGUGUUAAGCAUGGUGGUGUAGAAAGACAAAAGGGACCCAAAACACUGAUGAUAGCAUUCAUCCAUCACACUAUUUCUGGACUGUCUCCCUCCUGACUUCUCUUACUCAAGAGAAAAGCAAUAUCCAUAUUGGCUUAAUACACUGUUAGCUCACAUCAUUCUUAUCAACAAUCAGAGGCAAUUUUUAACUCAUAGUCCUCUCUAUUGUGGAAUAUACUAUAAUAGGAAGUGACAGAGUUUUUUUUUUUAUCAGGCCACAUUUAUGUAAUAAUUAUUAAAAAGCUCUUUGCUUUAAAAGCAAAGAAACUUUUAUAUGGAAUGCAGGGUUUAGCACAUAGAACAUAUUUUUAGAAAACAAUUGAAUAAACACAGCAGUUAUAUUUUACAGAAACAGAUUUCCAAAUGAUAUGUUCCAGUAUGUGAGGAGGGUUCUACUUGAUAACUACUGAGUCCUGACCAACAAGUGCAAUGAAGAAACUUUGCUUGGACACAACCAAGACCCCUUGGCAAGAGAUGAAUAAACAUCAGGAAAUGGAGAAUCACAAGAAGUCUUCAGCACUCCGUUUGCUCUUUCAUCUAUCAAACCUUUACUGAGCCCUACUCUGGUUUGAGUGUCCACACAUGGGAUAUGGAGCUGCUGGCAUGAGUCCUAGAGAAUCAAGAUUCCCACAUGCUCUGCAGGCAUUGACAGAGGGCCCUGCAAGUAAGUAAAUACUCCUUUCAUCCUGAGUUAAUUCCUAAGAUUCUUAGAGAGUAUAACUUUAGAUUUUCAACGAAGCGGGUUUGUGGAUCGUUCACCCCAUUGUAGACAAAUUUACUAUCCAGUAGUUAGCAGUGCUCAGUAAUUCUUCAAGUCCCUGAAGGAGCAGAACCUUCUGCUCCAAGAUUGCUCUUCAAACAACUGAGAGGAAACCAGAUAGCACUCUCUCUCUGAAGGCAGGCUGAUUUCUAAAGAGAAAGUGAUGCUGACUCCAAUUUAUUUUCCUAACUCGUCAACUAACUCUUUCCUCCUUCAAAGGAGUGAAGGGUAGAGAGGGCUAGAGUGUUUCACUGGCUAAAAGUCCCUCUAUGUAGAGAUAGAGGGAUUCCCCUCUCUUGAUGUGACUAAUACUCAUGCACAGCAUUCUCUUGGGCUAAGCAUGGCCUGCUGUCCCCAAGAAAGGGAAGAGUUAGUCCUACUCUGUUACCUGGACUUCAACAUAAUCACGAUGAAGUACUCAGGGACAUUAUAAUUGUCAGUGGGAAAAAAAUCCAUAAAAAGCAAAUCCAAAAUUUAAAUGAGUGCUCUCCUCUCUCUGUGGGAUCUUGUCCCCUUAUUCCUCUAUAGGAGGAAAAAUGAAGUCACAGCAAAGUCGGUUAAUACCUAAAAUUUAUUCAGAAUUGUAACAGCUAGUUACGGUCUGGGUCAACAAACAUUUUCCUAAUUUCUCAGAACUUCUGCUAAAAUGAUUUGCCAUGAGAUUUGAUGGUCAAAAUAACUGAACUCUAGGAAUGGUCUAACACAGACUUGAGGCUAUUUCUUAGAAACCACUUAGUAAAACUAGAUAAUUAACAAACAUUUCAGAUAUAUGUUUAAUGCUUAAGAUGGAAUGUAUGGAAUGUAUUAUUUCUAACAAAAGUUAAUUUAAAAAUUACUCAAAUAUUUUCCAUUUUUCCAAGCAUUAUAGCUAGCCUGGCUUUUACUGUAUUGUCAUUUAAAACAAAUAAAACUGGGUCAUGAUUUCUGACAGUUAAAUAAAUAUAUUCUGUUGAGCUUAAAUUAUCAUCCAUCUUAGCAAAAGGGUUAUAUAUUAUAUUAGCAGUCAGUGACUGAUUAGUUAUUUAUUCUCUUAAAGAGUAAAUGAAGGAGAUUAAUAUUCUGAUAAGCUUGUCACUGAUUUCUUAGGAGUGCCUGGCUCUCUUUCAUCGCUUGAACUAUAAUGUGUCAGACAUAAAUUCCAUUAUAAUUACAAUUGGUACUAAUGCCUCCCAAAUUAUAUUUAAUGGAAAGGUCAUUAUUGUAACUACAACUAAUUUCUUUCUUAAAAGUUCUAAAUGGAUUUCCAUGAAAAAAAUAUCAUAAUUAAAUUAAUGUUGAGGAAAGAACAGUAAAUAAAUCAGAAGGAUUAUAGGUUUUUAAAAAAGAGUGUAUUUUGCUUAUUUUUCCAGCUGGAUUACAUUUUUUACUCAAGUUCUGCCAGUAUUGGCUUUUGGGGAAUAGUGGGAGAGGGAUGGGGAGGAGGUGAAGACAAGAAGAAAAAGAUGGGACCUCAUGUUGGCUAAGUACGUGGUAUGUUUCAGACAGUAAAAGGUGAUUAAAACUCAAAUCUCUUCUUCUAAUUCUUACAACAACCUGGAAGCAGAUAUGUUUCCUACUUUACAGAGAAGCAAAAUGAGUCUCUUAGAGGUUAAAUCCCUGCAGUUUUGCUCUACCAGGGAGAGUGAAGAAAUGAAAAAUAAAGCUAGGUCUUUCCGGCUCCAACCUUCUACUCCCAUAGAUAACAGUUGUUGCUUCUCAUUCUUCUGGGUAAUGACAGCUGCUGGCGAGAGCUCCACAUUCCCGCCAGUGAGAUGGGUAAAGACCUGACCUAGAUUAUGCUGGAGCAAGUGACGGGGAGACCAAGCCUGUCCUUUGGUACUCAGAGUCCGUCUCUGAUUUUUCUGUUAGCUGGGUUCUUUUAUAUAAGAAACAAACAAAAUAGUAACUGAGCCAGUAUUUUGGCAGGAUGACUAUAGUGCUUUUUACAUGAAAACAACAUGUUGUGAAAUGACCAUGCUGAAAAAUGGCCAUGGGAUUUAAAAUUAAAAGACACAAGUUUUAAGUCUUGAGAAGCUAGACAUAAAUUAACAAACAUAAGACCUAUUUCCCGUAAAUUCCAACACACACACACACACACACACACACACACACACAUUGAUCCCUAUAUGAGAUCAAGUUUACUUUGAUAAACUCUUUAGAAAUAAGGAGUGCCUCUGGUUAUAUGACCUUGCACAAGCCACUUGUCCACCCUGAUCUCAGUUUCCUCAAUUAUAAGUAGGAAGAUUGGAUCACAUCAGUGGUUCUCAAAGUGGGGAACUUUUUAGAAAUGUAGAUUCUUGGGCCCUAUCCUUGAACUACUACCUUAGGUCAUCUACAUAGGGCCCUAUGAAGCUCUAAAGGCUCUGUGUCCCACUGUACUUUGAAAAUUACGUUGGCUUGGGGUUAUCAGAUACAACUUAGAAUAGAUUUACAGGGAGAGCCUGCUGAGUAGCAUUGAGAACUAUGUCUAGAUACUCAUAUUGCAACAGAACCAGGGUGGGGAAAAAAAAUGUAUACAUGUAAGGAUAACUUGAUCCCCUUGCUGUACAGUGGGAAAAAAUAAAAAAAUAAAUAAAAAAAGAAAAUUACAUUAGUAUCAGUACUUUAUUCACUGUGGACAACAAACACUCAUUUAGCAUCAACUGUUUGUCUGUUGGAGGCAUCCUUUGAUGCAUAGAGCCUCGACCGCCUAUGUCUUAAGGAUUUCACUGUCUACCGAGAAGAAAAAGACAAGUCAACAGAAAGCCUAGCAUGAUAAGUGUGGUAUUAGUGGUAAUCCCAGGGGCUAUGGGAAGACAGAAGAGGGAGGAGAGACUCAGCCUGGAGGAGCUUUAACUCAGGUAGGUGAUGGGGGAGGGAAAGGGUGAAAACUCAGGUUGUCAGAGAAGACUUCUAGAAGAAGGAAACUUUGAGAUCUGACUAUUAAGUCCAAAUGAGAAAAGUAUUAAUUUACACAUUUUACAAGGAAACCUGAAAAUCACAGCAAAAUUUCCAAGUGCACACAGCUAUUGAGUGAAAGAGAUGACACUUAAAGGCAUAUCUUUGAACUUAGAAACUCCUAUUUGAUUCGAUUUUCUGCUUCUAUAGUUCUUAUAAUAAAACAACCAUUAGGGGACAAUGGAUCCCUCCCCCCUUCCCCCUCCACCAACACCACCCCCCCAUAAGGUACAAUCCCUGUAGGUCUGAGGGGGAGGGAAGUCCUUUAGUAAGUAGUCAGUGAGGCAGCAGUGGCGGAGAGCUGGGGCCCAGGCAUUCACCAGUAAGCCUAUUAAAUGUAUCAGAUGUCAUCGGUACCUCCUUUAUCCUUCUCACUUUGGACCUCACAGGCUGAUAAGAAGGGGAAAGCGUUAUAACCCAGAAGUAAAACUGUUGCAUGAUUAUAACCCUGACAGCCUCCCUCUAAUGAGCUUCCCUGCAGAUAGGGAGAGGGGAGAGUGCUUUGAUCUCCAGGAACAGGAGGCAGAAAGGACCACUGUUUGGAGCAAAGCCGUCUGAUGGGGUCCAGUCUUCCAGUAAUCAAAGUCACAAGCUACCAUCUGAGCCAUUUGUGAACAGCAGAUAAGAUUAGCUGCUCAUUUGAUAGAUCAGCCACCACCAUCAAUGGAGGCUAAUUGUAUCUGAAAUAUGACCAGGGAAGUGUCAGCUCCUGGAGACAAGCAUUUCCUUUAUCCUGAGUUUGAAGCCUGAACAACAUUUUGUGUUCGAAAAUUUGAGUUAAAUGUUAAUGCAUGCAGCAUUUUUCUCCUUUGUCCCCCAGUCAGAAGAGGAAAUGUAAUUUUUUUAAAUUAGACAUCAAUACGUACUUAUAUUUUUCCAAAGAGUCUGCAUUACGGCAUCAGAAAAUAAAUCCUUUUUGGGUGUGAGACUGUGAGUCCAGGAAUAUUUGCUCCAUGGAAUACUUUCUUAGCUUCAGAGCUAAAAAAGGAAAGUGCUCCAGCUUUGGAAAAUCAUGUCCAGGAAGAUGGGCUUUGAAAUUCUAGAAUGUUGUGUGGGGAAAAGAAGGGAUGAUUGGUCAGUUGGAAUUUGAAGGAAUUUAUAUGGGUAGCAUUUUGCCUCAGAGGCUGAUGUGACUGACAGCUUUACUUUCUUCAAACCUAUUCCCAUGUCUAUAGAACUUGAGCUCGAAAUGAAUCAUGAUCAUGCAGCUUGGACGGCCCUGACACUUUGGCAAAGGAAGAAAGCCCAUCGUUCCACUCCACAUCCGCUGAAGUUGGGUCUUUGCUACUUUAGAGAGCAUUUGUUCUUUUGUAUUCUCCAGGCACAAGAGCGUUUGGAUUCUGGUCCUCUGUGAACAUUUCUGUCCAUAUUUGUAAGUCAUUCUAACCUUCCUCUUUUACAAAGCAGACAAUGCAAAUCCCCCACUCCCAUCUCAUUGUGCAGCAGCUCUGGCUGCUCUAUUUCCAGCCUGGUCCACUAUAGCUCUUAAAUUGCUAGGUUGUCCCCAUGUCCAGGCGGCUAGUAAAAGCUGCCUGAAAAUGGCAAGGUAUGAUGAGAAGUACCUCAUUAUGGCUCCCAAAAUACACAGCCCCAGAAUAGCCUUGCUCAGUUGGGGUAAGAAAAGAAGGAGGGGACCAAGAACAGAACCACUCAAAGUCUCCCACCCACUGAAAGAGCACGAGAAAACUUCUGUCACCUUCACACAAACUCUCAAGCUAUGAUGGCAUGGCAGGGACCACCUUCAUGGCCUUUCUCCUAGUUCCUAGGUUGGGCUGACACCUGUCCUGCUAGCGUCUGACAUCUCAGGUGUAGAAACUAUCUUCACCCUGAAUAAAGUAGUGACUGUGGGGGCAGUGCUCCAGUAGGGCCUCCAGGUUCAAGUCUCAGAACCACAGAAUAUUACAGAAGGAAGAGCUGUUAUAAUCAACAGCACCCUUAAAAAGCACCAGGCACUGUGCAAAGCAUUUUCACUCCAUAAUUCAUUUAAUCCUCACCAGUAACUUCAGAGGGAGUUACAGUUAUUAUUUCUUUGUUUCUUUUUCUUUUUUUGACUUUUAUCCUUUUUAGGCCCACACCCGUGGCAUAUGGAGGUUCCC